rnacentral:rRNA from 1 species
CGGACGGGUGAGUAAUGUCUGGGAAACUAGCCUGAUGGAGGGGGGUAACUACUGGAAACGGUAGCUAAUACCGCAUAACGUCGCAAGACCAAAGAGGGGGACCUUCGGGCCUCUUGCCAUCGGAUGUGCCCAGAUGGGAUUAGCUAGUAGGUGGGGUAACGGCUCACCUAGGCGACGAUCCCUAGCUGGUCUGAGAGGAUGACCAGCCACACUGGAACUGAGACACGGUCCAG